AUAAGUGCAUUUUCAAAGGGGCCACUUUGUCCGGACUCUAUUUCAAAUUGUAUUCAUCCGAUCUUCACCAAACUUGGUCAGCAGUUGCAUCUAGUUGAUAUAUAGGCCAAGUUCGAAUAUGGGUCAUGCCGGGUCAAAAACUAGGUCAUAGGGUCAAUUAGUGCAUUUUCAACGGCGCCACUUUGUCCGGACUCUUAUUCAAAUUGUAUUCAUCCGAUCUUCACCAAACUUGGUCAGUAGUUGCAUCUAGUUGAUAUCUAGGUCAAGUUCGAAUAUGGGUCAUGUCGGGUCAAGAACUAGGUCAUAGGGUCAAUUAGUGCAUUUUCAACGGCGCCACUUUGUCCGGACUCUAAUUCAAAUUGUA